GGUUUUCCAAGUCAUUCUAUGCUUAUUACCAUACAACAAGUUAUAAAGCUAAUUAAUUAAUUAAAGAAAGGAAUGAAACCUUUAAAUUUUUGAAUAUAAAAAUGUUUUUAUGCUUAACAAAUACUGAAUUAUUUGUUUUUGCUUUUGAAAUGUAAUAUAUGCAUUGGCUGUAUAAUAAUAAAUCUGACUUCAUUAACGACGGGUCUUCGACAUUUUUUAUUUUGCCCGAAAAUUAAAACAAUAUUUUAGCAAUAUAACUACACUGACAUUACGUUGUGUAUCACUGUAUGUCCCAAAUUUACUUUACCCACAUAAAUAAUACGAUACUAUAAUUAAUUUUGUUGAC